GUAGGUGGCAAGCGUUGUCCGGAAUUAUUGGGCGUAAAGGGCUCGCAGGCGGUUUCUUAAGUCUGAUGUGAAAGCCCCCGGCUCAACCGGGGAGGGUCAUUGGAAACUGGGGAACUUGAGUGCAGAAGAGGAGAGUGGAAUUCCACGUGUAGCGGUGAAAUGCGUAGAGAUGUGGAGGAACACCAGUGGCGAAGGCGACUCUCUGGUCUGUAACUGACGCUGAGGAGCGAAAGCGUGGGGAGCGAACAGGGAUUAGAUACCCUGGUAGUCCACGCCGUAAACGAUGAGUGCUAAGUGUUAGGGGGUUUCCCGCCCCUUAGUGCUGCAGCUAACGCAUUAAGCACUCCGCCUGGGGAGUACGGUCGCAAGACUG
rnacentral:rRNA from 1 species